CCGAAACGAGGUAAUAAGUAAUCGAUAGAUAACAAAGUCAGUAAUCAUAAUUAUCAUUUUAAGUAUAAACACAGGUAAUUAUUUACUGGCUAUCAUAACUAUUGCGCCAACUGUCUUCUAACGAGCUUCUAAUUGCGAUAAAUAAAUCGAAAUUUACUGAAAAUGUCAAAGUUUACUGUUUUUUUAAUAUGCAUGGCUGCAUUGUUUGCUAUUGGAGAUUGUGAAGUACUCGAUGGUUGUCCAGGUUGUGUAGGUCAUGGCGAAAAUUGUGAAACCGAUUUAUGCUGCCGGGGUUUUACUUGCAAGGAGAAUACUUUUGGCGAUCUAAAAUGUUCAGAUAACGAUGCUCAUCAUAAACAGGGCAGCCCAGGAGGAACUAGAUGGAAAAGUGAAAGUCUAGUUCUAACAGACUAAAAAAAAUUCUGAUGACUUUUUUGUCUUUUAAAAUAAAAAUUACUACUUCAUCGAGACGAACUUUAAACCAUUUAAAAAUACAGAAAUUUUUAUUCGAAUAAAUAAAAACUAUAAUCCCCUAUCCUAUAUAUUGAUAAAUUAUAUGUAAAAUCAUUGUAAUUUUUCGAGCACACAAUAAAAAUCAUUU